CUCUGCGCGAUAUCGAGUUGUAGUUAAAGAAGAGAUGGAUGCAUCCAUUAAGAAGAUGAAACAAGCCUUUGCUGAACUGCAGAGCUGUUUAAUGGAUCGAGAAGUGGCAUUGCUUGCUGAAAUGGACAAAGUGAAAGCUGAAGCAA